rnacentral:rRNA from 1 species
GACGAACGCUGGCGGCGUGCCUAAUACAUGCAAGUCGAACGCAGUGGGGACGGGUGAGUAAAACGUGGGUAACCUCCCAUCAGAGGGGAUAACACUUGGAAACAGGUGCUAAACCGCUACUGAUGGAUGGACCCGCGGUGCAUUAGCGAGGUGGUGGGGUAACGGCUCACCAAGGCCACGAUGCAUAGCCGGCCUGAGAGGGUGAUCAGCCACACUGGAACUGAGACACGGCCCAGACUCCUACGGGAGGCAGCAGUAGGGAAUAUUCGGCAAUGGGCGAAAGUCUGACCGAGCAAUGCCGCGUGAGUGAAGAAGGUUUUCGGGUCGUAAAGCUCUGUUGUUAGAGAAGCGGUAUCCAACGAGAAAGCAACGGCUAACUACGUGCCAGCAGCCGCGGUAAUAC